rnacentral:rRNA from 1 species
GACGAACGCUGGCGGCGUGCUUAAUACAUGCAAGUCGAACGGAAAGGCCCUGCUUGCAGGGUACUCGAGUGGCGAACGGGUGAGUAACACGUGGGUGAUCUGCCCUGCACUUCGGGAUAAGCCUGGGAAACUGGGUCUAAUACCGGAUAGGAGCCAUUUUUAGUGUGAUGGUUGGAAAGUUUUUUCGGUGUAGGAUGAGCUCGCGGCCUAUCAGCUUGUUGGUGGGGUAAUGGCCUACCAAGGCGGCGACGGGUAGCCGGCCUGAGAGGGUGGACGGCCAGACUGGGACUGAGACACGAGAUAGGCACAUAGGGGGGGCCGCGGCGGGGAGGAUGGGCCAAUGGGGGUAAGGGGGAUCAAGCCAUACCGCGUGGAUGACGAAGGGCUGAGGGUUGUAAAUCUCUUUGGUUGGGAAAGAAAAGCAGCAGGGUAAUACGCCGUUGUUCUGACGGUACCAAAAGAAUAAGCACCGGCUAACUUCGUG